UCACAUCAGAGUGAGGCCUGAGCUGCAGGAGGAGAGCCUGCAGGCCUCAUGGGUAGAAUUGCACCUUCACAAUCAUGGGAAUGUGAGCAGUGUUUCAGCCUCAGUUUCUACUUGUAAUGGUGACAAGGAAAAAAUACUGCUGAAUUUCCAGCAUGAGUCCAGAUAGAGAUAGCUCCAAAAGUUCUCACUGUGAGAGUCCACCUCAUUUGGACACCAUAGGAUAGUAAUAGGGCUUCUGAAACAGACAUCCAAAGCAUUGGAGAGAAAAACAGAUCUCCAUCUGAGCCAGAUUAUUUUGAGAGAAAAAUGUAAAAAAGAUCUUUUAAAAAAGCUCAGGUUAGAUAUCAGAUUGAUCAAAUGAGCCAGAAAAUGUUCCCCUAAAAGCAAUUUCUCUCUAACCACCCAAAGUACACAGCUGCUCUCAUCAUGAGAAACAUGAGCAUUACGAAGAAAGAGGGCAGAUUUUCAGAAGAAUUUUAUAAAGUUUCUUUUCCAUCUCUGCUGCUCUCUCAUCUCCUAGCCACUGAAUGGGGGUUCUAUAUUGAAAUACAUCUGACAACUUCCAACAACACUUUAA
rnacentral:lncRNA from 1 species